rnacentral:rRNA from 1 species
AACGAACGCUGGCGGCAGGCUUAACACAUGCAAGUCGAGCGCCCCGCCAGGGGUGCGGCAGACGUGUGAGUAACGCGUGGGAACUUACCCUUAUCUUCGUGAUAGCUCCGGGAGACUGGAAUUAAUACCGAAUGUGCCCUUUGGGGGAAAGAUUUAUCGGAUAAGGAUCGGCCCGCGGUGGAUUAGCUUGUUGGUGGGGUAAAGGCCUACUAAGGCGACGAUCCAUAGCUGGUCUGAGAGGAUGAUCAGCCACAUUGGGACUGAGACACGGCCCAAACUCCUACGGGAGGCAGCAGUGGGGAAUAUUGGACAAUGGGCGCAAGCCUGAUCCAGCCAUGCCGCGUGAGUGAUGAAGGCCUUAGGGUUGUAAAGCUCUUUCACCGGAGAAGAUAAUGACGGUACCCGGAGAAGAAGCCCCGGCUAACUUCGUG